UGAUUGGGUGUUGCACCGUGUGAAUGAGCAUGUUAAGAUGAUGAAGGAUUUAUGCAUGUGUCAAAGUUGAAUAAAGAGUUGCCUUGUUGGUCAUGAACAAAAUAUUCAGUUGUCCCAGUGAACACAAAAGGAGCAGAAUAUAACAGAAGGUGCUGUUACAACACAACUGACGCUCCACCGGAAAUAAUAUGAGCUGGGUAGAGAGCUUUCUGUGUCUGUGAUGUCCACUGUUGCAACAUUAAAGGACUACAUACACCUGCACUCCGUUUUCGACAACAAAUGCCGAACUCUGCGGGGUUGUAUUGAGAACAAAUGUUGUCUUAUGGCCUCCUUACACCAAACAACCUUGACAAGAUUUUGGAAAGAUUCAUUCUUGAUAGAUUGUAGUCUUUUGAGUAAAGCUCGAAUGGGGGGCAUUAGUUAAGACUACGAUCUUUCAAGAAUCUUUCCCGAAUCUUGUCAAAGUUGUUUGGUGUAAGGUGGCCAUAAGUAAUCAAAUGUCGAAAGCGGAGUGCGCCAUACUCAGGUCAGCGCUGGUGUUUACAGUGCCUAAUUCACCGAAGAUUACAUCAGUUGUAAGUGCAAACAGCCGCCCUCUGGCAAUCAACCUACAAUUGGCAGCAGCAGUGCAAAUGAAGAGGCAGGCCUGGUGCAAAAUGCCAAAUACAGAGAUACAGAGAGGUUGAAUGGUUCAGAUGGAUAUGCGUGGGGUGGCCGAUGACAUGAGGGUUUCACUGCUUUGUCUGCUGCUGUUGUUUGGGAGAUGGAAUUUGCUUCUUUAUGGAGCACUUGCAAAUCCAUACCAGCAUGAAUAUGGAAAGUAUGAGGAUGGGUCUACAGUAUAUGGAAGUGGCCCUGAACUAUAUAACCCUGAA